rnacentral:rRNA from 1 species
UACGGGGGGGGCAAGCGUUGUUCGGAAUUACUGGGCGUAAAGGGCUCGUAGGUGGCCAACUAAGUCAGACGUGAAAUCCCUCAGCUUAACUGGGGAACUGCGUCUGAUACUGGAUGGCUUGAGUUUGGGAGAGGGAUGCGGAAUUCCAGGUGUAGCGGUGAAAUGCGCAGAUAUCAGGAGGAACACCGGUGGCGAAGGCGGGUCUCUGGGCCGAUAUUGACGCUGAGGAGCGAAAGCGUGGGGAGCAAACAGG